rnacentral:rRNA from 1 species
GACGAACGCUGGCGGCGUGCUUAACACAUGCAAGUCGAACGGAAAGGCCCUGCUUUUGUGGGGUGCUCGAGUGGCGAACGGGUGAGUAACACGUGAGUCACCUGCCCUUGACUUUGGGAUAACUUCAGGAAACUGGGGCUAAUACCGGAUAGGAGCUCCUGCUGCAUGGUGGGGGUUGGAAAGUUUCGGCGGUUGGGGAUGGACUCGCGGCUUAUCAGCUGGUUGGUGGGGUAGGGGCUUACCAAGGCUUUGACGGGUAGCCGGCCUGAGAGGGUGACCGGCCACAUUGGGACUGAGAUACGGCCCAGACUCCUACGGGAGGCAGCAGUGGGGAAUAUUGCACAAUGGGCGGAAGCCUGAUGCAGCAACGCCGCGUGCGGGGUGACGGCCUUCGGGUUGUAAACCGCUUUCGCCUGUGACGAAGCGUGAGUGACGGUAAUGGGUAAAGAAGCACCGGCUAACUACGCG